rnacentral:rRNA from 1 species
GAGAAGCGAACCUGCGAAGGCAAGCGGAUCUCUUAAAGCCGUUCUCAGUUCGGACUGUAGGCUGCAACUCGCCUACACGAAGCUGGAAUCGCUAGUAAUCGCGGAUCAGCACGCCGCGGUGAAUACGUUCCCGGGCCUUGUACACACCGCCCGUCACACCAUGAGAGUCUGUAACACCCGAAGCCGGUGGGAUAACCUUUAUAGGAGUCAGCCGUCUAAGGUAGGACAGAUGAUUAGGGUGAAGUCGUAACAAGGUAAC